rnacentral:rRNA from 1 species
UACGAAGGGUGCAAACGUUGCUCGGAAUUAUUGGGCGUAAAGCGCACGUAGGCGGCUUAGCAAGUCGGAUGUGAAAUCCCCGGGCUCAACCUGGGAACUGCAUUUGUGACUGCAUGGCUAGAGUACGGUAGAGGGGGAUGGAAUUCCGCGUGUAGCAGUGAAAUGCGUAGAUAUGCGGAGGAACACCGAUGGCGAAGGCAAUCCCCUGGACCUGUACUGACGCUCAUGCACGAAAGCGUGGGGAGCAAACAGG